rnacentral:lncRNA from 1 species
UUAUCAUGUCCAUUUUCAUGAAACAACGAACAUUAUAAGAACAAAAUGGCUUUACUAGAACAAAAGGCAUCUUAUAAAUGUUAGUAUGAUUUAAUUCAAGGUCUACAAUAUCGUACCAUACCAGUGUUUCGAGAUUGGCUCGGUACGGUACAAUACCGUGUACCGAGCGGUACGUCAUGGCGUACCGAGUGGUACACCUAAUUUAAGGUGUAAAACCCUCCGAAAAUACCUGAAAAUAAAAAAAAAGUUAGGAUAGAGUUUUUAAGUUAGAAAUAAAUAUAGUAAUAGUAUAAAUUUAGCAAAAUCAAUGUAAAUUAGGUAAGAAUAGUAUCACAUAUCUUUUUCGGGCUUUGAGGAAGUCUUGUUCAAGGUUCGUAUUUCAGUCCGUUAUGGAUUAUCCUUCUGUAAAUAUUGAAAUAUCUACAGAAAAAUCAUUUGAAUUGUUAGAUUAUUUUGUUACAAUAUAAACUCUAAAAUUCAAAUGAAUUAAAUAAUCACAUAUGUAGAUAUAUCUGAUUGUUGAUUCUACCACCAAAACGAACGACAGGCCUCCACGGGUGGUGGAUCGGGGUCCUCGAUCCUAUACAUCUGCAUAUCAAUAUGAUAUGUUUGUUAGACCCAAUCAUGAAAUUGAUCCCAUGACAUAAUGUAUUAAUACACCGUAUGCCAUUGAUGCAUCAAUGUGGUGCUGAUCGUAGGCUGAUCGUCAUGAAUCAUAUUUGUCCGAGGCAGUUCUUGAGGCAUAUAUUGGUGAAUGUCAGAGCUUCUACUUUUGCUACUGAUCUGCUGCUCUAUAUCAUACUGUUGCUCAGAGAAAGAUGACCAACUAUCACCAUACUGUUGUUGCCCGUAUGAUUCUCCAUAAUACGAUGGCUGUGAAUACGAUGAGCUUCUUUCUGUAUCUAUAUCAUGUAGGCUCUGUCGUAUCUGCUCAAAUUCAUCCACUG